GACGAACGCUGGCGGCGUGCUUAACACAUGCAAGUCGAACGGAAAGGCCCGGCUUUUGUGGGGUGCUCGAGUGGCGAACGGGUGAGUAUCACGUGAGUAACCUGCCCUUUACUUUGGGGUAACUUCAGGAAACAGGGGCUAAUAUCGGAUAUGAGCACCUGCUGCAUGGUGGGGGUUGGAGAGAUUCGGCGUUUGGGGAUGGACGCGCGGUUUAUCAUCUUGUUGGUGGGGUAGUGGCUUACCAAGGCUUUGAGGGGUAGCCGGACUGGGAGGGUGACCGGCCACAUAGGGAUUGAGGUGCGGCCCAGACUCCUACGGGAGGCAGCAGUGGGAAAUAUUGCACAAUGGGCGGAAGCCUGAUGCAGCAACGCCGCGUGCGGGAUGACGGCCUUCGGGUUAUAAACCGGUUUCGACUGUGACGAAGCGUGAGUGACGGUAAUGGGUAAAGAAGCACCGGCUAACUACGUG
rnacentral:rRNA from 1 species